AUGCGGUGGCUUUCUGUAAAUUUCCUCCCUAUCCAAUCAAAACCCAUCCAAACCCUCGCUCGAUCCCCUCUCGCCCCACCCGCCGGCGGCGCCACCGCCAGAGCCACCGGCUCCCCCCCACCUCUGAUCCGGCGCUGCCGCGCCCUCUCGUCUCCUCCUUGUCCCAGAUCGGGAGCAGCUGAGCUCGGCGGAGGAGCAGCAGCAGCGACAUCUCAAGUUAGCAGUACAGGCAGUAUGGAUGGAACAAUGCAUGCUCCAAGCGGCGCCGAGCCACGUGUUGCUGCCCACUCUAGCGUGAACGGCAACGGCGCUGCCAGGCGCUUGCAUGAUGAAUGGCUGGAAGAGUAUGAAGCAGGUGUUUUCAUGAAGCUGAAGGACCUCGGUGACGGCACCCGAGAGCUGAAGAGGGUUCGGUUCAGCAAAAGGCGCUUUGGGGAGCAUCAGGCUGAGAAUUGGUGGAAAGAGAACCGCGAGAAGGUUUACGAGCGAUACAAUAUAAGGACCUCCCAACGAGCGUCGUCAGCAGCCCCAACCCACUCGGCCUAA
rnacentral:rRNA from 1 species